rnacentral:rRNA from 1 species
GUCUAUGGCCUUGUUACCAUGAACAAGCCCAAUCCCCUCUGAUCUCGGAAGCUAAAUAAGCAGGGUUGGGCCUGGCUAGUACUUGAGUGGGAGACCACCAAGGAAGACCAGGUGUUGUAGGCA